AUUGAACGCUGGCGGCAGGCCUAACACAUGCAAGUCGAACGAGUGGCGGACGGGUGAGUAAUGUCUGGGAAACUGCCCGAUGGAGGGGGAUAACUACUGGAAACGGUAGCUACUACCGCAUACCAUCGGGUGUGCCCAGCUGGGAUUAGCUAGUAGGUUGGGUAACGGCUGACCUAGGUGACGAUCCCUAGCUGGUCUGCGAGGCUGACCAGCCACCCUGCAACUUAGAGACGGUCCAGACGCCUACGGGAGGCAGCAGUGGGGAAGAUUGGACAAUGGGCGCAAGCCUGAUGCAGCCAUGCCGCGUGUAUGAAGAAGGCCUUCGGGUUUUAAAGUACUUUCAGCGAGGAGGCGUUACUCGCAGAAGAAGCACCGGCUAACUCCGUGCCAGCAGCCGCGGUAAUUC
rnacentral:rRNA from 1 species